rnacentral:misc_RNA from 1 species
GAUGAAGAACGUAGUGAAAUGCGAUAAGUAGUGUGAAUUGCAGAAUUCAGUGAAUCAUCGAAUCUUUGAACGCACAUUGCGCCCCAUGGUAUUCCGUGGGGCAUGCCUGUUCGAGCGUCAUUUACCCCCUCAAGCUCCGCUUGGUGUUGGGCGUCUGUCCCGCUUCGCGCGCGGACUCGCCCCAAAGGUAUUGGCAGCGGUCGUGCCAGCUUCUCGCGCAGCACAUUGCGCUUCUCGAGGCACCGGUGGGCCCGCGUCCGUCAAGCUCACCCCCCCAGUUUGACCUCGGAUCAGGUAGGGAUACCCGCUGAACUUAAGCAUAUCAAUAAGCGGAGGA